AGAGACAUAGCUCAGUUGGUUAGAGCACCACCUUGACAUGGUGGGGGUCGCUGGUUCGAAUCCAGUUGUCUCUACCA
rnacentral:tRNA from 1 species